rnacentral:rRNA from 1 species
CCCGAAAAAAGAAGAGCUAAUAUAAUAAAAAGUUAUUGUGUCAAAAAUAUUUUAAAUAUUGUAUUAGUAAUGAAAUAUUAAUCGGUUCUUUAUAUCUGGUUGCUAGUGAAUUAAAUUUAAUUUAAUGAUAUAAUAUAUAAAAUAUUGUAUUUUAAAGAAAAGGAGGAAAAGCUUCUUUUUCUAGAAAUAAUUAUAUUGAGUUUACAGCUAAAAUUGUAGCAUUAGAGUAAUUUUAAAAUUAGGCUUAGAAGCAGCCACAUUAAUAAAGCGUUUUAGCUAAUAAAUAUACAGUUAAGGAACUCGGCAAACAAUUUUCGCUUUUGCCUGUUUAUCAAAAACAUGUCUGUGCGAAGAUAUGUAGAGUCUGGCCUGCCCACUGACUUAAUAUUGUUUAAAGGGCCGCGGUAUUUUGACCGUGCGAAGGUAGCAUAAUCAUUAGUCUCUUAAUUGGAGGCUCGUAUGAAUGGUCGGACAAAAAGUAAGCUGUCUUCAACUGUAAAAAUUGAAUUUGACUUUUAAGUGAAAAGGCUUAAAUAAAACAAAGUGACGAUAAGACCCUAUAAAGCUUUAUAGUCUAAUUUUUUACUAUAAAUUAUUAAAUUGUAUAACUUAGUUCAAAAUAAAACUUUUUAGUUGGGGCGACGAAAAUAUAAUAAAAUAACUGUUUUUGUGUUAAUAAAACAAAUAUAUUUGAUUUAAAUAAAUGAUCCUUUAUUAAAGAUUAAAAAAUUAAGUUACUUUAGGGAUAACAGCGUAAUCUUCUUUGAGAGUUCAUAUCGACAAGAAGGGUUGCGACCUCGAUGUUGAAUUAAGGUUCCUUUAUGGUGUAGCAGCUAUAACAGGAGGUCUGUUCGACCUUUAAAUUCUUACAUGAUUUGAGUUCAGACCGGCGUAAGCCAGGUCGGUUUCUAUCUUUUGUAAAACAAAAAAUUAACCUAGUACGAAAGGAUUGGUUAAU